AGGCAGUGCACUGACUUCUGACGUACAGUCCAAUGUGAUGGGGACCCUGCCUGUAAGAGGAGAUGUAGACAGCCUGACAGGGCCGAAGCCAACUCACAAUGAGGAGAUGGACACGGUGCCAUCCGGGUAACCUUUGGGAGCAGAUGAGCAUUGGAGGU